CAAUAGCGUAUAUUUAAGUUGCUGCAGUUAAAAAGCUCGUAGUUGGAUUUCGGGUGGGAAUGGCCGGUCCGCCGUUUCGGUGUGCACUUGCUACGCCCACCUUGCUGCCGGGGACGUGCUCUUGAGUUCACGCUCGGGACACGGAGUCGGCGAGGUUACUUUGAGUAAAUUAGAGUGUUCAAAGCAGGCCUACGCUCUGAAUACAUUAGCAUGGAAUAACACGAUAGGACUCUGGCCUAUCUUGUUGGUCUGUAGGACCUGAGUAAUGAUUAAGAGGGACAGUCGGGGGCAUUCGUAUUUCAUUGUCAGAGGUGAAAUUCUUGGAUUUAUGAAAGACGAACUACUGCGAAAGCAUUUGCCAAGGAUGUUUUCAUUAA
rnacentral:rRNA from 1 species